rnacentral:lncRNA from 1 species
AGGCUACAAGAGAUGGUUCUGGCUAGACCCUGAAGUACUGAGAAAUGCCUAGUUGUGCAGCAACAGCCAUGUCUGAUUGGAUUGGAGGAUUCCUUCUGCACUAUUCUCAGCUCAAGUAUGGGGGUCUUGACAUAGAGAACAUCUAUGAACACAGUGAAAAUGGAUGAAGAUUUAAAUGAAACUUCCUCAGUUAUGUAAUCCAAACUACAAAAAUCGAAGUCAAGGGAGAUGGAUGCCAGGUGUUAGCCUAAGAGCUGGCAUAUAUUUUUUGGAGUGCUGUGAGGUGUAUUGCAAGUCUUGCCAUUAUUUGUUUACAUUUUUCAAAAAGCUAAAAGUCGAAAUAGCCAAAAUAACUCAGACUAUUUCAAAAGCUCAUUAUUUGCAUAGUGUACUCAUUUGAGCAAGAGGAAAGUCUGACUGCUAAGAGCUGCUAGGAAAGGAUAAAAGUGAACUGUAUGUGUAAAGAAGGGAAUGAGAAAGUUGCACACAGGUAAUAGGCUCUUUAUCAGCCAGUGCUGCCAUCCCUAGUUGCUGGGAAUAUAGGCUGAUAUAUAACAAUAUCCCCUUUCCUAGACAAUUUUCUGAUCAACCAGGAGCUGCCUUUCCUCAGGGGCUAUGCAACCACCUCUUGGAGUUCAGAAUUUAGAUGAUGACUAACUGAUAUCAAGGUUUAAAGGCUGCUUGUGUCAAAGUGAGAUUGAUUCAGUGGUGCAAUGUGUACUCUAGAGUUUUCACCAUGAGACCAGACGUAAAGAAGCCUCUGAGACCAGAUUCUUGUGCAUGUUUUUCGUCUUGCCUAUCCUGCAUUCCUCAACUCUCCUGAAGGCUUUCCCUCAUUCUGUCACUUGAACAAGAAUCCCCUCCCAGGCUCUGCUUCCAAGGCUACAAGGAUUCAAUCUGCUUUCCUUUAUUUUGGAAGUUGUUUACACCCACUCUACUUUCUGGGUUUAUUUCCUAGCAAGACUGCCUGCAGAGAAAUUAUUGCAGACCAAUUUAUCCAGGCAACAGUUUGCCCAUCUGCGCAAACAGUUCUCUUAUUGGACAACAUCAUUUUCGCUUGGGCAAACAGCUCAAUUUUCAGGCAACUGUUUUCUCACAAAGAGCCUUAUGUCUGUCUCAAACUAUUGUGUCAUGAAUGUUGCCCAAUCUUGACAACCUUCACACCUUAAAAAACAAACCUCAAACCAUUUAAGUACAGUCCCCUAAACCCUAUUAAUACCCUUCUGUUGUCUCCUCUUGAGACUGAUAAAACCCUGUUAAUGUGGUUUUCUCCCUUAUUGCAGUAUGUUUAAUAAAUUCUGCUUUGCCAAACAACAGGUUUAUCUGGUGGAUGUUAUAAAGGAGUCAACAAUCACCAGGUCCAAACACAAUCUUUGACACCUAACAGAAGCUCAAUUAAAUUUUUUUUCAUUAAGUAACUAGGCAGAAACUCAGGUAGGGUAUUAUAUGAGAUAAAUAUGGGGGAAAGGGAGAACAAGGUAUUAGUCACAAGGAAAAAGAAAACUGGUUAUACAAGAGUCCAGGAAAUCUAUUAAAAGGCUAAGGGAAUAGAACUGACUCUGAAACAUAAGAAUCUUAGAGCUCCAUGAGAUUGUUAAUCUAUGAGGUUGGCCAAUCAAUUGUGCACACAUGUGUUAGCCUCUGUAAGGUGUCACAUAGAAGGGACAUGAAACUAUCUGAUGGAUCUUGCAAUAAACAGUGUCACUUUUUUCAGUAUUUUCUAUUCCUAAAGGAAAGGCUUUUUCUGUAUUUCUGGUCUAGGAUGAAGCUCAAGAUUUUCCUGUAUGGGUUAAUGGGAGAUAAACAUACAUUCAUUUAAACAUUCAGUAUUUAGAAUAUUUAGUAUUUAGUAUUUGCUAUGUCAAAACACCAUUCUAGUUUCUAGCAACAUUGAGAUGAAUAUGGAGGGGGCUGAAAAACUAAGGGUUUAUUUUAUCAAAGAGAAGCAAAUGAAAGGAAAUAACAUGUUAGAGCCAUACAAUUCUAAAAGGGCUCAUUCAUGUUCAUAAAUUUUCAGGUUAUCUUCUGCUGACCCUCAGAAAAACCUAUAGAAGGCAAAAACAUCUUCGAAGGAGGUUCUCUUUACUUCACGUGAACUCAUCAUUAACUUAAGUACUGUAGCCUAGAAAUCAUUGUCAAUUGCAUUUUUUUUGCAGAGCAAAACCACCUUUUUUGUUUGUUUGUUUAAAGGAGUGGAACACUGAGUAACUCUUGAAAUGGAAAAUGACUAUAUAUCACUUAGUAUAAUUAUGGCCUUCACCAAUAACUUUAUCUGUCAAGCCAAAUAAUUAGUAAAGCUCUCCAGUGUGGUAAAUCCAAAAUGCUCUUGGUCAUUUACUCCAGUGUAUAACAGCUUUUAAUAUCAGUAAAUAUUUCUUAGCAACAAAUGUUAAAUCUUCCUUCUCUUGUGAAUACUAGGUCUCAUUUUCUUGUUCUUGAUUCAAUAAAGAUGAAGACAGUCUGGCUGUUCUUCAAGAAAGAAAAAUGUUAGAGGCUUACAUUAAUUAAACUAUUGGUAUAUUUGUUGAAGUUCAUGAGACGCUGAAUUAUACCCUAGGAAGUAAGACAUACAUGCAAAAAACAAAACAAAACAACAACAACAAAAAACAAACAAACAGCAAAGUAACAAUGCCCAAUUAUAUAAAGGCCAAAAAGCUCAGGUGAAAAAGUGCAAACAGAAGUGGAGGCCAAGAAAAGAAUGUGGGAGAGAAUGAAAUAUGUGAGCCUCAAACAGAAUAGAAAAAUGGGCAAAAAGAAAAGGUUGGGGAGGGAAGGAAAGCAGCAUGAAUGAAGGAUGAUAAAGGAUUAGUUUGAAGGUGAAAUUUUACUUUAUUCUUAACACCAGAGAUCUAUAUGCUACUCACGGAUAUUUAUUAAAUAAUUAUGAGUAAUGCAUACUCAUUAAAAUAUAAAUACAUUUAAGAUAGAAAGAACAACAAAAAUUAUCUCUAAUCACACUAUUCCCUCCUCCCUAUUGAUGUUUUAGCCUUGUUUAUUACAGACCUUUUCUGGGCACUUUAAAAGGCGUACUUUCACCCAAAUACAGACUUGAUUGUGAACUUUUAAAUUUAUUAUUGCAUAAGAUUUUUUAUGUUAGUUAUACAUCUCAUUUGAUCAAGUAUAUAUACGCCAAAGUUUUAUUUAAUAAUUCAUACAUAGUUAUAUCUUUGAGUAACCUUAUAAUUAGAAUUUGUAUAAAUCGUUUUGCUACUAAGAUCUUUGUACAAAAUACUAUUUUUCUGUUGUAUAAUCACUGAGAAUGGAGUGAAAUGGAGUGGACAAAACACAGACUUUGGAGUUAAAUAGAACUGGUUUUGAUUUUCAGUUCUGCUCCUUAUAGCUUGUAAUUUUAAGCAAUGUAUCUAACUUCUCUUGGGCCUUGGUUUCCUAAAAUAUAAAAUAAAAAUCACUAUGGUUACUUUGUAGUACUAUUCUGAGAAUAAGAAUUAAUAACUGCAAAGUGUAAUGUGCUUAGA